CCUACGGGGGGCUGCAGUAGGGAAUCUUCCGCAAUGGACGAAAGUCUGACGGAGCAACGCCGCGUGAGUGAAGAAGGUUUUCGGAUCGUAAAACUCUGUUGUCAGAGAAGAACAAGUUGGAGAGUAACUGCUCCAGCCUUGACGGUAUCUGACCAGAAAGCCACGGCUAACUACGUGCCAGCAGCCGCGGUAAUACGUAGGGGGCAAAUGUUGUCCGGAUUUAUUGCGGGUGAAGCGAUAACAGGGGGUUGAAAGCCCACGGCUCAACCGUGGAAGGUCAUUGGAAACUGGGGAACUUGAGUGCAGAAGAGGAGAGUGGAAUUCCAUGUGUAGCGGUGAAAUGCGUAGAUAUAUGGAGGAACACCAGUGGCGAAGGCGGCUCUCUGGUCUGUAACUGACGCUGAGGCUCGAAAGCGUGGGGAGCAAACAGGAUUAGAUACCCGAGUAGUC
rnacentral:rRNA from 1 species